UACGGAGGGUGCAAGCGUUAUCCGGAUUUACUGGGUUUAAAGGGUGCGUAGGCGGAUUAAUAAGUCAGUGGUGAAAGCCUGGAGCUCAACUCCAGAACUGCCAUUGAUACUGUUAAUCUUGAGUGUAGAUGAAGUGGGCGGAAUGUAACGUGUAGCGGUGAAAUGCUUAGAUAUGUUACAGAACACCGAUUGCGAAGGCAGCUCACUAAACUACUACUGACGCUGAGGCACGAAAGCGUGGGGAGCGAAC
rnacentral:rRNA from 1 species